rnacentral:lncRNA from 10 species
CUCGGGCGAGCAGGGCCCUUCGCUCCGGGAGGGGAGGUGACGCGGCGCGGGCUGGACGGCCGGAGACGCGGGGUCAGGGCGCGGACGAGGGGAGCGCAGGGUCGGAGGGGCUCCCGGACGCUGCCCGCCCAGCGUCGGCUCUCGUUGGCCCCUGGCUGCGCGCAGCGGGCCCGACUCUCAGGGCCCUGCGGUGCCCGCUGCCAGCGUGAGGGCUCCGGUCACGCGGCGCGCGAGACGAACGAGCGAGAUGCUUCCCGAAGCGCGGGGCCCAGUGCAGGGGCUCAGCCGGGGCUCCUCCCAAAGCUCACCUGGAGCCCAGCACGACUGCGUUCUGGAAACGCUGUGUUUGACAGCAGGGGCAGGAUGGGGGGCUGUGUAGACGCUGGCCACGUGGCAAUUGUAGGAGAACCAUGGGAUCGAUAAAUGUUCACUGUUGUCCCUGAAGCGCAAAACUGCAGGGCUCUGGAAAGUCCGUGUGUGUGUUUUUGUUGUUUUUGUUUGUUUGAGACAGAGUCUCGCUCUGUCACCCAGGCUGGAGUGCGGUGGCGCGAUCUCUGCUCACUGCAACCUCCGCCUCCCGGGUUCAAGCGAUUCUCCUGCCUCAGCCUCCCGAGUAGCUGGGACUGCAGGCGGCCGCCACGACGCCCGGCUAAUUUUUUGUAUUUUUAGUAGAGACGGGGUUUCACCGUGUUAGCCAGGAUGGUCUUGAUCUGACCUCGUGAUCUGCCCGCCUCGGCCUCCCAGAGUGCUGGGAUUACAGGCGUGAGCCACCGCGCCUGGCCGAAAAGUCCGUUUUAAAAGAUGAUGUAUACAAAUUAUAGCACGGAGAGGGAACGGGCAAGUUGUUUCCUCUUUCCAUGCCUCCAACUCCUCUGAAAUGUGGGUCAUGAUGAUAAUAGGAAAAACUGUCUCUGCCAUAGAGAGGUGGAAAAAGUCCCGCGAAGUGUCCCCGGUAUCUAGAAAGCGCUCAGUAGUGUUUGCUGUUAUCUUAGGGAUAUCAGGCUGCCUGGACAUUUCUCAGAGGAUGAAGGGGAUUGUAGGAAGGAAGACCACCUUCCCGGGGCUGGGCAAGGCUGCGGUACUGUCUCUCAUCAGGUCCAGGAGGACUCAGCAGGCUGAUGCAGAGGGACACAGCGCAUCCGCCUUGGUGGAUGCAUGGCUUUCCUGGCUCCCCUGGGACGGGGGAGGAGGGUGAAGAUGGAGGGAAUCUGGCUGGCUGGGCCUUGUGUACUGGGGGGUGGAGGGCCCAUUUGACUGCAGGAAUUGCUCAAGCACAUAAGCACCUUGAAGUGUGUUACUAAGAUACAAGAAACAGGUUUGCUUUUGCCUAUUCCAGCAUGGUGUACCUCUCUUAGGAUACCUUUUAGCACAGGUAGCAGAAUACCAGCCAGCCUCCUGUGGCUCACAGCAUUAAGAUAUUUAAUCAUCUGACAUUACAUGAAGUCCAGUGUUAGGCAGGCAGGAGCUGCUCCCGUGACUCAGUGACAUCAGGUUGGUCCACAUCCUAGCAGUUCUCUUGGUGUUCCUGCGUGAUCAAAGGAUGACUGCCACACCCCAGCCUGCUGACCUCAGCCCUGGCGUGGGCAUAGGAGGGUCUGCGUGGCUGAGCAUCCAGUGUCCUUCGUACUGCCACUGACAGCCUCAGGCCUGAUUUCCAGCACUGUCUGUCCAGGAGCAAUGGGAGCAAGAGUCACUCCACGAGACUCUGGAGGCCUGAUAGACAAAAUACAUGAAGACCAGUUUCUACACAGAGAAUCACUAAAAGAUGGCCAGGCGCGGUGGCUCACGCCUGUAAUCCCAGCACUUUGGGAGACCGAGGCGGGCGGAUCACAAGGUCAGCAGAUCGAGACCAUCCUGGCUAACAUGGUGAAACCCCAUCUCUACUAAAAAUACAAAAAAUUAGCCCGGCGUGGUGGCGGGCGCCUGUAGUCCCAGCUUUUCGGGAGGCUGAGGCAGGAGAAUGGCAUGAACCUGGGAGGCAGAGCUUGCAGUGAGCCAAGAUCACACCACUGCACUCCAGCCUGGGCGACAGAGCGAGACUCCAUCUCAAAAAAAAAAGAAUCAGUAAAAGAUAUAAAGGAGAAAAGGACAGAACCACAAAUAGGCAACAAAUAUGUUAAAAAAAAGUUUAGCUUCACUUAAAAUGAAAUAAAUGUGAUUAAAAUAUUUAAGGUUGGCUUUUUCCCCCCUCUAAUGAGUUAGCGAAGGUUAAACAUUUAAAAAGCCUGAUGAAAUCUAGGGUUGGCAGAAGUAUGGAAAGCAACCAGUGGCCAUGCUGGUUGGUAUAACCUUCCCUUUGGGCAAUUCAUUUAUAAGUAUCAGCACUUAAAAUGUGCAAUACUCGGCCAGGCAUGGUGGCUCACACUGUAAUUCUAGCACUUUGGGAGGCCGAGGCGAGUGGAUGAUGAGGUCAGGAGUUCGAGACCAGCCUGGCCAACAUAGUGAAAACCGGUCUCUACUAAAAAUACAAAAAAAAUUGGUAGGGCUUGGUGGCGGGCGCCUGUAGUCCCAGCUACUUGGGAGGCUGAGGCAGGAGAAUCGCUUGAACCCAGGAGGAGGAGAUUGCAGUGAGCCGAGAUUGCGCCACCGCACUCCAGCCUUGCGACAGAGCAAGACUCCGUCUCAAAAAAAAAGGACUGGUAAGACAAUGUGGUAUUCUUGCUCCUCCUCCCACUGUUAGUUGUGGGUAUAAUGUUUCUCCCAUUCAACCUGGGUCGGCCCCAGUGACUUGCUUGACCAAUAGAAUGUAGUGAGGUGAUGUCUUAGGGCUACCAAAGUGAGGUCACAAGAGCCGGUGGCUUCCACCCCAGCCUCCUGGGACUCUGUGAGACCCGCUGCUACUGAGACUGCUGUGCUGGAGAGGCCACAUGUGGGUGUUCUGGCCCACGGUGCCAGCUGACAUCAGCCUUCCAGCCACCCCAGUGAUCUCUUUUCUGUCACACUGGACAGGACAGUCACCUGGUGGAGCUGCUGAAAUUCCUGGCACGCUGUCACAUAUAACAAAAUAGUUCUUGGCGGCACGGUGGCUCACGCCUGUAAUCCCAGCACUUUGGGAGGCCAAGGUGGGUGGAUCACAAGGUCAGGAGUUCAAGACCAGCUUGGCCAAUUUGGUGAAAGCCCAUCUCUACUAAAAAUACAAAAAUUAGCUAGGCAUGAUGGCACGCGCCUGUAGUCCCACCUACUCAGGAGGCUGAGGCAGCAGAAUUGCUUGAACCCAGGAGGUGGAGGUUGCAGUGAGCUGAGAUCGCGCCACCACACUCCAGCCUGGGUGACAGAGCAAGAUUCCGUCUAAAAAAAAAUGGUUCUUUUAAACCACUAAGUUUUCAGGGGUCUGUAAGGCGGUGAUACAUAAUGGGAACAGAUACUUGCAGUUCUAUGUAUAGCCAUGUUCAUUACAGCAUGAUUUAUGAUACUGAAAUAUUGGGAACAUCUGUAAAGAGUUUGUUAAAGUCUGAUACACCACUACAAUGAAAUAGAUCUAGUCAGUGGGACAAAGCAGGGUGAGUAAAGCAGGGCCAGAUGCUCACAAGGAGUAUUCAGCUAAAAAUGUAAGACAGGCUGGGUGCGGCAGCUUAUACCUAUAGUCCCAGCAUUUGCGGAGGCCAAGGCAAGAAGAUUGCUUGAGCCCAGGAGGUCAAGCUGCAGUGAACUGUGAUCACACCACUGUCCUCCAGCCUGGGCGACAAUGUGAGAUCCUGUCUCAAAAAACAAAACAGGCUGGGCUCGGUGUCUCAUGCCUGUAAUCCCACCACUUUGGAAGGCCGAGGCGGGCAGAUCACGAGGUGAGGAGUUCGAGACCAGCCUGGCCAACAUAGUGAAACCCCGUGUCUACUAAAAAUACAAAAAAUUAGCCGGGUGUGGUGGUGGGUGCCUGUAAUCCUAGCUACUCGGGAGGCCAAGGCCGGAGAAUCGCUUGAACCUGGGAGGUGGAGGUUGCAACAAGCCGGGAUCUCGCCACUGCACUCCAGCCGGGGUGACAGUGCAAGACUCCAUCUCAAAAACAAAAACAAAAACAAAAACCCCCCAAAACAAAAAACAAAACAGAAUGAAAAGUAGUAGAAAAAUGGUGAGUCAGUAAAAGAACAACCCCAUGAAAAAAUGGGCAAAAGUGCUGGGUGCGGUGGCUCAUGUCUGUAAUCCCAGCACUUGGGGAGGCUGAGGCUGGAGGAGUGCUUGAACCCAGGAGUUGGAGACCAGCCUGGGCAACAUAGAUACCCCAACUCUACAGAAAAAAAAUUAAAAAUUAGCCAGGUGUCAUGGUGUGUGCUUGUAGUCCCAGAUAUUGAGGGCUGAGGCAACAGGUCCUUUGAACCCAGGAGGUCGAGGCUGCAUGAGCCAUGAUUGUGCCACUGCACUUCAGCCUGGGUGACAGAGCAAGACCCUGACUCUAAAAAUAAUAAUAACCAAGGCUGGGUGUGGUGGCUUAUGCCUCUCAUCCCAGCACUUUGGGAGGCCGAGGCGGGCAGAUCACAAGGUCAAGAGAUAGAGACCAUCCUGGCCAAUGUGGCGAAACCUUGUCUCUACUAAAAAUACAAAAAUUAGCUGGGCAUGGUGGCAGGCACCUGUAAUCCCAGCUGCUUGGGAGGAAGAGGCAGGAGAAUCGCUUUAACCCAGGAGGCGGAGGUUGCAGUGAGCCGAGAUUGCGCCACGGCACUCCAGCUUGGGUGACAGAGAGACAGACUCCGUUUCAAAAUAAUAAUAAUAAUAUAAUAAUCAAAAAUUGGAAGUAACCAAGAUGCUCUUUAAUAAGUACAUGGGUGGCCAGGGGCUGUGGCUCAUGCCUGUAAUCCUAGCACUUUGGGAGGCCGGGGCAGGCGGAACACAAGGCCAGGAGAUCAAGACCAUCCUGGCUAACACGGUGAAACCCCAUGUGUACUAAAAAUACAAAGAAUUAGACAGGCGUGGUGUCGGGCGCCUGUAGUCCCAGCUACUCGGGAGGCUGAGGCAGGAGAAUGGCAUGAACCCGGGAGGCGGAGCUUGCAGUGAGCCGAGAUCCUG